CAAGACUGCUAGCAAGCAGCACCCUUUCUGCAGAAAGUAAACUAGCCUUGCUGAGAGAUUCUUUGUCUCAGUGUUGAUUUUUGCAACACCGAGCACUAGUUCCCAACAAUUUGGUGGCCCGUAUGGGGAAUAACAUUCCCCUCUUGGAUGGUGUUUGCCCCUCUCUCAUGGGGAGGUGCCCUGCCACCCGUUGUUGCCGCGGCCCCAGCAGGAGAGCCGGGACCUACCUGGUGUGAGGAAUAUACUUGGAGUCUCAGCAUCGGCGGGGAAAGAGAGAGGCUUGUGGGACCGUGGUGACCAGGUGACUCCGUGCGUGGGCCAAGAUCAAAGGUCUCUUAGCACAGGUGCCAUCACUAGAAUUUCCAGCACACCAGCACCAACCCAGGGACCAUGUUCUCAUCAAAGGGUGGAAGGAAGGGAAACUUGAGCCCACCUGAGUAGGCCCCUAUCUUGUGCUCUUAACCACUGAGAUUGCCGUCUGCACAGCUGAGAAAUGAUGGACCCACCAUACUUCAGUCAAGAAAUCAUCUUCCUCAUCAGAAUCAUGGGUUACUAUACCAGGAUCGAGUCCUACCAAGUUAAAAUUAAAGAAAGCUUAA
rnacentral:lncRNA from 10 species